rnacentral:rRNA from 1 species
UACAGAGGUCCCGAGCGUUGUUCGGAUUCACUGGGCGUAAAGGGUGCGUAGGUGGUGAGGAAAGUCGGAUGUGAAAUCUCCGAGCUCAACUCGGAAAUGGCAUUGGAAACUACCUUGCUCGAGGGUUGGAGGGGGGACUGGAAUACUUGGUGUAGCAGUGAAAUGCGUAGAUAUCAAGUGGAACACCAGUGGCGAAGGCGAGUCCCUGGACAACUCCUGACACUGAGGCACGAAAGCUAGGGGAGCAAACAGG